AACGCGAAGAACCUUACCUGGGCUCGAACGGCUUCUCAACGCCGGUGGAAACAUCGGUACUCCGCAAGGGGGUGGAGUCGAGGUGCUGCAUGGCUGUCGUCAGCUCGUGUCGUGAGAUGUUGGGUUAAGUCCCGCAACGAGCGCAACCCUUGUCCUGUGUUGCCAUGCCCGAAAGGGCGGAACUCGCAGGAGACCGCCAGCGAUAAGCUGGAGGAAGGUGGGGAUGACGUCAAGUCCUCAUGGCCUUUAUGUCCAGGGCUACACACGUGCUACAAUGGACGGUACAAUACGUCGCUAACCCGCGAGGGGGAGCCAAUCGCAAAAAACCGUUCUCAGUUCGGAUUGCAGGCUGCAACUCGCCUGCAUGAAGCUGGAAUCGCUAGUAAUGGCAGAUCAGCACGCUGCCGUGAAUACGUUCCCGGGCCUUGUA
rnacentral:rRNA from 1 species